UGGGGAAUAUUGCACAAUGGGCGAAAGCCUGAUGCAGCAACGCCGCGUGAGUGAUGAAGGCCUUCGGGUUGUAAAAGCUCUGUCUUUUGGGACGAUAAUGACGGUACCAAAGGAGGAAGCCACGGCUAACUACGUGCCAGCAGCCGCGGUAAUACGUAGGUGGCAAGCGUUGUCCGGAUUUUACUGGGCGUAAAGGAUGCGUAGGCGGAUUUUUAAGUGAGAUGUGAAAUACCCGGGCUUAACUUGGGUGCUGCAUUUCAAACUGGGAAUCUAGAGUGCGGGAGAGGAGAAUGGAAUUCCUAGUGUAGCGGUGAAAUGCGUAGAGAUUAGGAAGAACACCAGUGGCGAAGGCGAUUCUCUGGACCGUAACUGACGCUGAGGCAUGAAAGCGUGGGUAGCAAACAGGAUUAGAUACCCUGGUAGUCCACGCCGUAAACGAUGAGUACUAGGUGUAGGAGGUAUCGACCCCUUCUGUGCCGCAGUUAACACAA
rnacentral:rRNA from 1 species